AAGGUUAUAUUAAUUGAUUUCUAGAAUCAGUUCAUAUCUUUAUUUUUCUUUAUGUGAUUGCAGCUAGAUGUGCAAUACCUUCAUGUUAAUGCAGCUAUUGAUUCCAGCAUAGGCCUUAACCCAGCCCCUCUUUUAGAGUUAUCAGCAACAAUUGGAAGUAAGGAUCUUAGGAAGGUUGAUGAAAUUGGAAUUCAAGUCCUUAUUAGAUUAACAGGACGGGUGAGCAAUUAAGGAAGAAUUGAUUGAAGCUGUGAGGAAUUAAGGAGCAUAUUGAACAAAGCUUUAAGUAAAGUUGAGAGUUCAUAGGCAACGGUGAAGCAAACCACUGAAUUACUUCGCUCGGUGUGCGUAUACCCUACACAGAUCAAGUUGGGGCUUUGAUUGAUGUUGCAAAGGUAGCUGGGGAGUAGCUGAUUGCUGCAAAUCUAUGGGUAAGGUGCGUGGAAUGUUACAUGAGAGUUGCAGUGGUCAUGAGAAUGCAGUAUAUAUGUUUAAAUUAGUAGAUUUUGUCAGUAGUACAGAGGUCAUUGAUGUUACUAAGACAUCAUUGCUGCAAAUAUGUGGGUAGGUGCAUGGAAUGUUACAUGAGUUGCAGUCGUCAUGAGAAUGCAGUAUCCUCCUUAAAUUAAUAGAUUUUCCCAUUAGUACAAAGGUCAUUUAUUUUUUUUCCUUAUAUUGUUUUUGGGGUGCAGGACAUUUAAAAUCAUAAACUUUAUUGACGAAAUAAAGAAGAAUACAUCUACAAGUUUUAAGAGUUGUGAAGACUAUUGACAAACAAAGUGAGGUGGUUUGCUUCCAAAAA